rnacentral:lncRNA from 7 species
CUCGGGGGUGGAGCGGCUGCGUGGGUCAGGACGGGGCUGUGCAGAAGACUCAAGAUGAAAUGAUGACCAUUCCCCAUCACAGCAGAACACUUCUCUGACUUUGCAGACUGUGUUUACAACCAGAAUGGAAUGUGUUCUGGGCAGAAACAACAGAAAAGCUGGGAGUUGAAUAUCGAACUUCAUGUCUUUAUCCUUGCUGUGAAGACAGACCUUCCACAUUGAGUGAAAAUGCCUGCGAGCACAGGCAGCACCUGGGUUCUGUGCAUGCCAGCACCUUUGCAUGCAGUUAUGCAUGCACAGUUCCACUGAGAGCAAGAGGAUUAGCUUUUGCUUUGCAAGAAUCUGAAUGGAAAUGAAGUUGCAGAACAGGCUCCCUGCACCCCAUAUUUUCAACAGACCAGAACUUCAGUUCUGCUUGUGGAGAAAAAUCAAAAGGCCUUUUGUGCUCUUCCAGUGAGGAUCCAAUACCUGCAUGUUUGCCCCACCAAUACUUCCUUGGCUGGAGGCUCCCUUAAUCACCAUGUGGGCCACCAACACUGCUUUUUGCAGUCUGCCAAUGCUGUAUCACCACAGUCUGUAAGGCAGCAGAUUUGUGCAGUUCUGCCAUGCAAACUGUCUCCACCUAUCCUACGCAGAGAGGUCUGCGUUUCUCUGUAUUUGCAAAGAAAUACAUCUCUCAGCUCAAAAUCAUUUUCCUUGGGGACAUUAGGGAAUGAUUCUUUCCAGCUGACCAGAUACUGGCUUUUCCAGGGCUGCAAUUCAGGAGACUGCUGCUGCAGUCCAAUCGCAUGAUUUUCAAUGCCAGACUAGCUCCCUAUAGGGCUUCCCCAAAUGUUUCAGGUAUUGCUGACUUAAUUGCUGUGAUACCUACUCACAUUGCUAC